GACUACAUGAAGCUGGAAUCGCUAGUAAUCGCGGAUCAGAAUGCCGCGGUGAUACGUUCCCGGGUCUUGUACACACCGCCCGUCACACCAUGGGAGUCGAUAACGCCCGAAGUCAGUGACCCAACCUGUAAGGAGGGAGCUGCCGAAGGCGGGAUUGAUAACUGGGGUGAAGUCGUAACAAGGUAGC
rnacentral:rRNA from 1 species